rnacentral:rRNA from 1 species
UACGUAGGGUGCAAGCGUUAUCCGGAAUUAUUGGGCGUAAAGAGCUCGUAGGCGGUUUGUCGCGUCUGCUGUGAAAACUGGGGGCUCAACCCCCAGCCUGCAGUGGGUACGGGCAGACUAGAGUGCGGUAGGGGAGAUUGGAAUUCCUGGUGUAGCGGUGGAAUGCGCAGAUAUCAGGAGGAACACCGAUGGCGAAGGCAGAUCUCUGGGCCGUAACUGACGCUGAGGAGCGGAAGCAUGGGGAGCGAACAGG